AACGAACGCUGGCGGCAGGCCUAACACAUGCAAGUCGAGCGGACCCUUCGGGGUUAGCGGCGGACGGGUGAGUAACGCGUGGGAACGUGCCCUUUGCUUCGGAAUAGCCCUGGGAAACUGGGAGUAAUACCGGAUACGCCCUUUUGGGGAAAGAUUUAUCGGCGAAGGAUCGGCCCGCGUUGGAUUAGGUAGUUGGUGGGGUAAUGGCCUACCAAGCCGACGAUCCAUAGCUGGUUUGAGAGGAUGAUCAGCCACACUGGGACUGAGACACGGCCCAGACUCCUACGGGAGGCAGCAGUGGGGAAUCUUAGACAAUGGGGGAAACCCUGAUAUAGCCAUGCCGCGUGAGAGAUGAAGGCCUUAGGGUUGUAAAGCUCUUUCACCGGGGAAGAUAAUGACGGUACCCGGAGAAGAAGCCCCGGCUAACUCCGUG
rnacentral:rRNA from 1 species